rnacentral:tRNA from 1 species
GGGAUAGCUCAGUUGGGAGAGCGUUUGAAUGGCAUUCAAAGGUCGUCGGUUCGAUCCCGAUUAUUCCACCA